UGGGCUGUAGCUCAAUGGUGGAGCCCUUGACUAGCAUGUAUGAGGCCCUGAGUUUCAUUCUCAGCAUCCAAA
rnacentral:tRNA from 1 species